rnacentral:lncRNA from 1 species
AAAUUGCUUUAUGGUUGCCUCUGUUUUGUUGACUAUGUUAUGAAAAUAAAGAAUGGAUAGGGGACCAAUCAUGAGAGAGAUGUGUAUGGGAAGCUGUAGCCACGCCUACUUAGGUGUGUCUGACCAUGCCUGCAAGGGCUUGGCCAGGGUGACAUACAGUGAGAGGUGGUCAGGUGGCUGGGCACUUUCGGUUUCACUUUCGGCUUCCUGUACAGACCAACCCAGCCAGGCGGCCGGAAGAUUAGGCAUUUGGGAAAAAAAGUGUUCUUGCUUGGACUGUUUGUUGCUUUAUAAACUGGACAUGCAGGACCCACAAGUAAGUGACUGCUGAACUUACAAAACAAGACAGUACUGAAGGGUUCCUGUUAAAACGGAGAAGUAUGCCAGACACACUGUGGCCUAUGGGCUGAAGAUGGAUGCCCCAAUGUUACAGAGGAACUGAGGGUGACUGUUCAGAGAAUUUGUGAAGAAUUUCCAAACCAAGGCAAGGACUGUGGGCGGCAGAAAUCAUGGACUCCGGAAUACAAGGUUCUGUCUCCUGUAGAUGUCAGGAGCAGUUUGGGUUGUCUGUGUCCUUGUACAGUCAACUUGUGACUAUAUCCAUGAUCUACUGAGUCCUAGAGUAUAGCCAGAGACAGACUGAUGCCAGUUCUUCAUACACCCAAGCAAUCAGGUGGCUGAUAUCAUCAUAUAAGAAGUCUGCAGCAUAAAAGGAAAAACAAGGAGUUAAAUGGGGACAUACUCAGAGACCCCACUGAUGCAAGCCCUCAUCCACUGGCUGAUGGAAGCAUAUGCAGACAUCCACAGCUAUACACUGAAACGAUCUCCGGAAUCCACUUGCAGAGAGGGAGGAAUGAAGAUCAAAUGGAUCAAGACCAUGAUGGUGAAUCCCACAGAAACAGAUGGUCUGAACAAGGGGGAGCAUAUCAACCCAAGACUGCUGUCUGGGAUGCUAGCAUGGGACCGAUUCAGACCCCUGAACGUGGAUGUCAAUGAGGAGACUUCAGCAUUCUCUGGGGUCACUGGUAGUGGAUCAGUAUUUUGACCUGGUGUAACAUAGGACUUUGAGAGCCCAUCCCAUGUGAAGGGAUGUUCUCUCAGCCUGGAUACAUGGUGGAUGGCCUAGGUCCGGCCCAGGAUGAUGUGGUGGACUUUGGGGAGCCCCUGUGGAGAGCCCUACCUUCCCUGAAGAGCAGAGGGGUGAUAGAUUAGGGACUCCUGGGGGGUUGGAAUGGAGGGGAGGGAGGGGGAUAAGGGAUUUACAUGUGAAACAAGCUUUUUG